CAGGAAUAAGAAAUGAUAAAAAUAGUAAUCGCAGAAAUACAAAAUAUGAGAAAAUACUGGCGACAUGAAAUAAGACAAAAAGGAACUAAGACAUAAGAAAAAGGGCACCCACCUAUGUACACAGUUCUAGGGUUACUUCCCCGGUUCCACAAGAUCUCUCCUAACUGCAUGCUACAACCCACACACUCACACUAGCCUUCUACCCUUAUCCGCGCCCUCUACACCUUUC
rnacentral:lncRNA from 1 species